rnacentral:rRNA from 1 species
UACAGGGGGUGCAAACGUUGCUCGGAAUUAUUGGGCGUAAAGCGCGCGUAGGCGGCUACUUAAGUCGGAUGUGAAAGCCCCUGGCUCAACUGGGGAAGUGCACCCGAAACUGAGUGGCUUGAGUGCGAAAGAGGGUCGCGGAAUUCCCGGUGUAGAGGUGAAAUUCGUAGAUAUCAGGAGGAACACCUGUGGUGUAGACGGCUUACUGGACCGCAACUGACGCUGAGACACGAAAGCGUGGGUAGCAAACAGG